GCGAGGGUAGCUCAAUUGGAAGAGCACCACGUUGCCAACGUGGUGGUUGCGGGUUCAAUCCCCGUCCCUCGCU
rnacentral:tRNA from 1 species